GGGUAUAUAGCUCAGUGGUAGAGCUCACGCCUAGCAUGCACGAGGUCCUGGCUUCAAUACCCAGUACCUCCA
rnacentral:tRNA from 1 species